AAAAAAUUAGUUAAACCCCAUAACAUUAGACUGUCAAACUAAAAUUGUCAAAAGACAUUUUUUA
rnacentral:tRNA from 1 species